rnacentral:rRNA from 1 species
UACGAAGGGGGCUAGCGUUGCUCGGAAUCACUGGGCGUAAAGCGCACGUAGGCGGCUUCUUAAGUCAGGGGUGAAAUCCUGGAGCUCAACUCCAGAACUGCCUUUGAUACUGAAGAUCUUGAGUUCGGGAGAGGUGAGUGGAACUGCGAGUGUAGAGGUGAAAUUCGUAGAUAUUCGCAAGAACACCAGUGGCGAAGGCGGCUCACUGGCCCAUUACUGACGCUGAGGCACGAAAGCGUGGGGAGCAAACAGG